rnacentral:rRNA from 1 species
ACGGGUGAGUAACACGUAGGUAACCUGCCUUUAAGACUGGGAUAACUAUCGGAAACGAUAGCUAAGACCGGAUAACUGGUUUUCUCGCAUGAGAGAAUCAUAAAACACGGAGCAAUCUGUGGCUUGAAGAUGGGCCUGCGGCGCAUUAGCUAGUUGGUGAGGUAACGGCUCACCAAGGCGACGAUGCGUAGCCGACCUGAGAGGGUGAACGGCCACACUGGGACUGAGACACGGCCCAGACUCCUACGGGAGGCAGCAGUAGGGAAUCUUCCGCAAUGGACGCAAGUCUGACGGAGCAACGCCGCGUGAGUGAUGAAGGUUUUCGGAUCGUAAAGCUCUGUUGCCCUAGACGAACAGCAAGGAGAGUAACUGCUCUUUGUGUGACGGUAUAGGAGAAGAAAGCCCCGGCUAACUACGUGCCAGCAGCCGCGGUAAUACGUAGGGGGCAAGCGUUGUCCGGAAUUAUUGGGCGUAAAGCGCGCGCAGGCGGUCAUUUAAGUCUGGUGUUUAAUCCUGGGGCUCAACCCCAGUUCGCAUCGGAAACUGGAUGACUUGAGUGUAGGAGAGGAAAGUGGAAUUCCACGUGUAGCG